rfam:Aedes albopictus isolate Foshan contig43124, whole genome shotgun sequence.
CAAACGGUCCUUUUAAGGACUACGAAAAUAAUUUUUCAAGAGCUGU